rnacentral:rRNA from 1 species
UACGGAGGGGGCUAGCGUUGUUCGGAAUUACUGGGCGUAAAGCGCACGUAGGCGGCUUUGUAAGUUAGAGGUGAAAGCCCGGUGCUCAACACCGGAAUUGCCUUUAAGACUGCAUCGCUUGAAUCCAGGAGAGGUGAGUGGAAUUCCGAGUGUAGAGGUGAAAUUCGUAGAUAUUCGGAAGAACACCAGUGGCGAAGGCGACUUACUGGACACAUAUUGACGCUGAGGUGCGAAAGCGUGGGGAGCAAACAGG